ensembl:snoRNA small nucleolar RNA, H/ACA box 50A
AAGCACUGCCUUUGAACCUGGUGUCUCUUGUUUGUAGUUUCACAGGCCAAGCAACAGUGCCUAGAGCAUAAUGACGUGUUAUACCUGGGGCUCUUCAGCUCUCAGCUGAACUGCUCUUUUAAAAACAAGGGACAUUU